CACAGACACUCUCUGCAUCACAGGAAGUCAGCUAACACUCGAUAUGUACAAACAAAUCAGAUGAAAAAUAGCCCAGAAUUGUCUAAAGCUAUACCAAUUGGACCACCUCAAUCUAUAUUUUCAUUUCCUGAAAGAGAGAAAGCUACUUCAAGGACAGGAAGUAUGAACUACUUCAGCCUGUAAUUAAAGAAUUAAUUUCAACAGCCCUUCAAGCACUAAUUAGCAAAAUAUGUUAAGAGAAAAAGCCAACUUCUUCCCAUGGAAUUAAAAAAUAAAAUAAAUCAUGCAUAUAUCUAGAGCAAA